rnacentral:rRNA from 1 species
UACGUAGGGUGCAAGCGUUGUCCGGAUUUACUGGGCGUAAAGCGCGCGCAGGCGGCACAGUAAGUACGUCGUGAAAUAUCCCGGCUCAACCGGGAGGGUGCGAUGUAGACUGCUGAGCUUGAGGUCGGUAGAGGGGGGUGGAAUUGCUGGUGUAGCGGUGAAAUGCGUAGAGAUCAGCAGGAACACCCGUGGCGAAGGCGGCCCCCUGGGCCGUACC